GGGUAGAUCAGACAGCAAGCAGCAACCAGGGCGCCAAGGCACCCAGAGACUCACCCACCCUAUGUUUCUGCCGGAGUCAGGAGGGGACACCCAGAGACUCUUGGGACCCUUGGGAUAGCUGCAGGGGCACAGUCCCCAGGGACACUGCUACAGGCCCAGAGCAUCUCGCCAGAGAACAAUGCCAGGAUGGAGCACCAAGGUCUGUGGAGGACAGGGCAGGGCACAUGCUGAAGAUAGCUAACGGUACUCAGGGAAGACAGAGCCUGCCCUGGAGAUGCUGGUGCCAGGGGAGUGACACAUUGGAUGCUCCUGGGGACUUUGGAGGUCUCCUGAGAAAAUGUGCCCUACCAGGUAGGAAUGGAGAAGAGGAAGCAGAGCAAAGAAAGAGAGCAAGAACCAGGCUCACAACUCAGUGGAGAGAAGAAGAUGAAGAAGAGGCCGCCCGUGAGCAGCGCCAACAGAGAGAGAGAGGCAUGCAGAGAGGCAGAGAGACAGAGACAGAGAGAGACAGAGAGGUAAAAACGAAUUUUUUUUUUUUAAAUCACUGUGGUCUUAAGAGCCCUGCAUACCAACUCAUUUGACUGCCCCCAUUUUACAGAUGACACACCAGAGGCUUGGAACUGUAAAUAGCCUAGAACCAAGC
rnacentral:lncRNA from 1 species